UACAGAGGGGGCAAGCGUUGUUCGGAAUUACUGGGCGUAAAGGGCGCGUAGGCGGCCUGUUAAGUCGGACGUGAAAUCCCCGGGCUCAACCCGGGAACUGCGUCCGAUACUGGCAGGCUUGAAUCCGGGAGAGGGAUGUGGAAUUCCAGGUGUAGCGGUGAAAUGCGUAGAUAUCUGGAGGAACACCGGUGGCGAAGGCGGCAUCCUGGACCAACACUGACGCUGAUGAGCGAAAGCCAGGGGAGCAAACGGG
rnacentral:rRNA from 1 species